rnacentral:rRNA from 1 species
GGUUGAUCCUGCCAGUAAUCAUAUGCUUGUCUCAAAGAUUAAGCCAUGCAUGUCUAAGUACAUGCCGAAAUAAGGCGAAACCGCGAAUGGCUCAUUAAAUCAGUUAUGGUUCCUUAGAUCGUUUCUUCCUACUUGGAUAACUGUGGCAAUUCUAGAGCUAAUACAUGCAGUGAGCCUGGAACCCUUUGGGUUUACGGGUGCUUUUAUUAGACCAAGAUCGAUCGGGUUUCGGCCCGUAUUGUGUGGUGACUCUGGAUAACUUUGUGCUGAUCGCAUGGCCAUGAGCCGGCGACGUUUCUUUCAAGUGUCUGCCUUAUCAACUUUCGAUGGUAGGUUACUUGCUUACCAUGGUUGUUACGGGUAACGGAGAAUCAGGGUUCGAUUCCGGAGAGGGAGCCUGAGAAACGGCUACCACAUCCAAGGAAGGCAGCAGGCGCGCAAAUUACCCACUCCCGGCACGGGGAGGUAGUGACGAAAAAUAACAAUACGGGACUCUUUUGAGGCCCCGUAAUUGAAAUGAGUACACUCUAAAUCCUUUAACGAGGAUCAAUUGGAGGGCAAGUCUGGUGCCAGCAGCCGCG